AUCUAUAUAAUAAAAGCCCAAGCAACCAUUACGGUGGAACAAUCAGAAGGGUCACUAUGACGUGCACUGACCACCAGGGGGCAGAUGUUC